CUGGCCUUGCUGGGUGUCCACCAUGCCCUCUCCUGAGUCUCCUGGGGCCCCAGAGUCACUGCGGCCCAGGGGCAUGUUCAGGUAAGUUAGAGAGAGGGGUGCCCUGGCAGGUGGGGAGGGAGAGGCUGUAAUCCAGGGCUCCUGGCUUCAUUGGUUUGGGCAGCUCUAACAGAACACCUUAGACCCGGCGGCUUAUUCCUCACACUCUGGAGGCUGGGAAGUCCAAGAUCAAGGUGCCAGGCGAUCCUGUGUCUGGGGAGGGCUCCCUGAUUCACAGCCUGUGCCUUCCGGUUAUGUCCUCAUGUGGUGGAAGGAGCGAGGGAGCUCUCCGGGCCUCCAUUUCGAGGGCAGGAAUCCCAUUCACAAGGGCUUCACAUUAUGACGUCAUCGCCUCCCAAGGGCCCCACCUCCUAAGACCAUCCCCUUGGGACUUUUGAGUGACACAAACAUUCGAACCAUUUGGCCCCUGAUGAAAUUCCUAACCUCCCCUUGUUAGAGUCAGUCUCCUCCCGGCUCUCCACUGCCACUGUCUCUGGCUGCCACCUUGGUCCUAAAGCAGCCUGGCCCUACUGGCUCGCUGCUCUCAUUCUCUGGAGCCAGACUUCUGAUUCCCAUGCAUUUGACCUCUGGCCUCCUCAGCCCACACCACCUCAACUCUUGAGCAUGGAGCCCAGGAGGAGGUCCCUCCGGGGACAAGGUCACCACCCCUCUGCGCCUCCCUCUAAGGUGCCCCCAACUGUCUCUGCCUCCAUGGUCGCUGCUCCCUCCCACCCAUCCACAUCAUCCUGAGAGGCUGUAAUCAACCUCCCCUCCCCGCUGUCCCCCCGACAUUCCCCUCUGCCCUCCCAUCCCCACAUCAGUGUCUUAAUUCCUUUCCCCGUACUCCUCCAUUAUACCCUAAAUAUGGGCUUCUCUAUCUGAGAAGUGGGGUCAGCCCGAGGCCAAGCUGAGAACCUGCCCCAGCCUCCCUGCAGGCCUGGCCUGGGACCCUCCUGUGGAGGAGCUGGGUGCCCAGGGAGACCCUCGCAGGCAGCCAGACAGCCUGAAGAGAACAGGGUCACUCUGGGAUAACCUAAGUCACUCUACAGCCUCACCAAAGAGAUGGGGGCACCCUCUCCUGCGUGGGAGGAGCCCACAGAAACCUGAGGCUGGAGGGAUUCCCUGGUGGGAAAGGCACGCAGGGCUUCGGGGAGACUUGCUGAAGUCUCCAGGGGAAGCCCUGAGCCAGAGCUGGGGUCAGGACUCGCUGGAGCCAGCACCAGGUGACCAUGGCCCUGGACAGUGUGUGGAGGGGAGGAACAGAGAGGUGGAGCUUGCGCUUGACUGUGCCUGGCUCCCUGCAGGCCCCCAGGUUCCCCUUUCCAACCCCAGCCAUGCCACCGUGGCCAAGAUGGAGCAGCCAGAGCCGGGCAGACCAGGAAAACACUGGCAUUUUUAUCUGUCCAAAAUUCAGUUUUUAACACCAAAUAGCUGUAGGCCCUGCAAGAAAGAGAUGAGGAAGGGGGUCGGGGGGCCUAUAAGCUGAAAAAUACCGAACAAGCCUCUCCUGCUAUUUGUCCUCCUGAAUAAAAAAG
rnacentral:lncRNA from 10 species